AACGCUAGCUACAGGCUUAACACAUGCAAGUCGAGGGGUAGCAGGGUAGCAAUACCGCUGACGACCGGCGCACGGGUGAGUAACACGUAUCCAACCUACCGUUUACUCGGGGAUAGCCUUUCGAAAGAAAGAUUAAUACCCGAUAGUAUAAAGAGUUCGCAUGUUCUCUUUAUUAAAGGAUUCCGGUAAAUGAUGGGGAUGCGUUCCAUUAGAUUGUUGGCGGGGUAACGGCCCACCAAGUCUUCGAUGGAUAGGGGUUCUGAGAGGAAGGUCCCCCACAUUGGAACUGAGACACGGUCCAAACUCCUACGGGAGGCAGCAGUGAGGAAUAUUGGUCAAUGGGCGAGAGCCUGAACCAGCCAAGUAGCGUGCAGGAUGACGGCCCUAUGGGUUGUAAACUGCUUUUAUAAGGGAAUAAAGUUAGUCUCGUGAGACUUUUUGCAUGUACCUUAUGAAUAAGGACCGGCUAAUUCCGUGCCAGCAGCCGCGGUAAUAUGGAAGGUCCGGGCGUUAUCCGGAUUUAUUGGGUUUAAAGGGAGCGUAGGCCGGAGAUUAAGCGUGUUGUGAAAUGUAGACGCUCAACGUCUGCACUGCAGCGCGAACUGGUUUCCUUGAGUACGCACAAAGUGGGCGGAAUUCGUGGUGUAGCGGUGAAAUGCUUAGAUAUCACGAAGAACUCCGAUUG
rnacentral:rRNA from 1 species